UUUAUUAUGGCACCCUCAACGGAGUUGGGGUGACAUAUUGUUAUUGUUCGUUUCUUUUUUUUCUUAUUAUUUUUUUUAUUUUUAUUCUUCCACACUUUUUGUCCAUGGCAGUUCUCGGAAUUGGAUGGACCAAUCUUGAUGGAACUAUGCUAUAAUGUUGUCCACCAUGUGAAGUUGUGCACCUGACUUUGGAAUGUGCAAGAUGGCCGCGGUUACCAUGGAAACUAAAAAAACGUAAAAGAAAAUCAAAAUUCUAACUCUUUCGUUAUAAGAGCCAAC
rnacentral:lncRNA from 1 species